UACAGAGGUCCCAAGCGUUGUUCGGAUUCAUUGGGCGUAAAGGGUGCGUAGGUGGCAUGGUAAGUCGGGUGUGAAAUCCCGGGGCUCAACCCCGGAACUGCACUCGAUACUGCCGUGCUCGAGUACUGGAGAGGAGACUGGAAUUUACGGUGUAGCAGUGAAAUGCGUAGAUAUGCGGAGGAACACCGAUGGCGAAGGCAAUCCCCUGGGCCUGCACUGACGCUCAUGCACGAAAGCGUGGGGAGCAAACAGG
rnacentral:rRNA from 1 species